rnacentral:rRNA from 1 species
CUUAACCGGGCGUUAAGUUGCAGGGUAUAGACCCGAAACCCGGUGAUCUAGCCAUGGGCAGGUUGAAGGUUGGGUAACACUAACUGGAGGACCGAACCGACUAAUGUUGAAAAAUUAGCGGAUGACCUGUGGCUGGGGGUGAAAGGCCAAUCAAACCGGGAGAUAGCUGGUUCUCCCCGAAAGCUAUUUAGGUAGCGCCUCGUGAAUUCAUCUCCGGGGGUAGAGCACUGUUUCGGCUAGGGGGCCAUCCCGGCUUACCAACCCGAUGCAAACUGCGAAUACCGGAGAAUGUUAUCACGGGAGACACACGGCGGGUGCUAACGUCCGUCGUGAAGAGGGAAACAACCCAGACCGCCAGCUAAGGUCCCAAAGUCAUGGUUAAGUGGGAAACGAUGUGGGAAGGCCCAGACAGCCAGGAUGUUGGCUUAGAAGCAGCCAUCAUUUAAAGAAAGCGUAAUAGCUCACUGGUCGAGUCGGCCUGCGCGGAAGAUGUAACGGGGCUAAACCAUGCACCGAAGCUGCGGCAGCGAACGUAUCACCCAAGACAACUUUACGGAGUUGACGAUUGACGGAGCGAAGCGACGUCAAAGCGUUCAUUAAAGUCGAGUUGGCUUAGGGAUACGUUCGUUGGGUAGGGGAGCGUUCUGUAAGCCUGUGAAGGUGUGUCGUGAGGCAUGCUGGAGGUAUCAGAAGUGCGAAUGCUGACAUAAGUAACGAUAAAGCGGGUGAAAAGCCCGCUCGCCGGAAGACCAAGGGUUCCUGUCCAACGUUAAUCGGGGCAGGGUGAGUCGACCCCUAAGGCGAGGCCGAAAGGCGUAGUCGAUGGGAAACGGGUUAAUAUUCCCGUACUUGGUGUUACUGCGAAGGGGGGACGGAGAAGGCUAUGUUGGCCGGGCGACGGUUGUCCCGGUUUAAGCGUGUAGGUGUGUGUUCCAGGUAAAUCCGGUUCACUUUAACACUGAGGCGUGACGACGAGGCACUACGGUGCUGAAGCAACAAAUGCCCUGCUUCCAGGAAAAGCCUCUAAGCAUCAGGUAACACGAAAUCGUACCCCAAACCGACACAGGUGGUCAGGUAGAGAAUACCAAGGCGCUUGAGAGAACUCGGGUGAAGGAACUAGGCAAAAUGGUGCCGUAACUUCGGGAGAAGGCACGCUGACACGUAGGUGAAGUGAUUUACUCAUGGAGCUGAAGUCAGUCGAAGAUACCAGCUGGCUGCAACUGUUUAUUAAAAACACAGCACUGUGCAAACACGAAAGUGGACGUAUACGGUGUGACGCCUGCCCGGUGCCGGAA